rnacentral:rRNA from 1 species
AGCCUUUGGAUAUUGAUCUAAGGUUAUAUCUGCCCAAUGUAUUAGCUUUAUGAAUGGCCGCGGUACUUUGACCGUGCUAAGGUAGCGCAAUCAAUUGACCUUUAAAUGAGGUCAGGUAUGAAUGGGAUAACGGGGUUAAGCUGUCUUUAAACUAGUUUAUUGAAAUUACUAUAGAGGUGAAAAAGCCUCUAGUUAGAGAAAGGACGAGAAGACCCUUAGAGUUUGACUUAAUCAAAUUUUCAUUUUAAUAGUUUUGUUGGGGCAACAGAAGAACAGAGAAUUAAACCUCUUUAAAACAUACAAACCGAUGUUUUACAAAAUUGAAGAAACUACCUUAGGGAUAACAGCAUAAUUUUAAAAUUAAGAUUGUGACCUCGAUGUUGGACUAGGAACCUAAAAGGCUAGCCGCUUUUUGGUAAAGUUCUGUUCGAACUGUAAUUCCU